rnacentral:tRNA from 2 species
UCCUGGUUAUCUCAGUUGGUAGAGCGCUCUGCUGGAAAUGGAGAGAAUCUCUGGUUGGAUACCAGGACCAGGCG